GAUCAAAGCCUUGGCAGAAACAUCAUGAAUAAAAAGCAUACCCUAGAUAAGGACGAGAGUGAGGAGAGCACCGGGUUCAUCUAGUAGUACACGCGAUCCUAGACCAUAGGUCCAGCCACGUCCUUCAACGGUUGAGGGCAAUCCUUUAUAAAGUGCUAGGUGCUUCCGCAUCGAUAACAAGCAUGAUUGAUAUGCCAAUAGGAUAGAUCACCAUAUGAACAACCAUAAUGCUGACAUGGUUGCAAAGGUUGAAUCCAGUAGGUGGAGGUAAGACAAGGGGAAGGGUAACUCGAGUUUGUUUAUUAGCGUGGCUACUUAUUGGGUCGGGCAAUCUUCUUUUGGGUUGUUGGAGUUGUAGUUGUUGGUUACGAACUCCGGCUGAGAUGAGAUCUUCGACCAAUUGGGUAUGUUCUACCACCUCUGCAUACGAGCUAAGUCUCAACAUCAUAACACGAUUAUAGAUAACGACACGAAGGCCUUUCAAAAUUUUUAUAGCU
rnacentral:lncRNA from 1 species